rnacentral:tRNA from 1 species
AGAUGAAUAGUUUAAUGGAAAAACAUCCCGCUUCUAACGGGAAGACUGAAAGUUCGAUUCUUUCUUCAUCUACAA